rnacentral:ncRNA from 1 species
UCAAACGCGAUGACGAGAAGAGUACGUCUAUUCAUUCCCUCACAGAGAGCUCCGGGUGGUGCGAAGGAGCAGGGAAGGCUGGACCGAAACAAGCCUCUGAGCGGUGCACCGGAACCGGCUAUGGCCGGGGAUGGUACAACAGGAGCUCCUGUUACAGAGCUAGAGUAUAAGUCCUGCCUGCCGGCAGUGCCGUACUUGAUGAGAUUAAUAUGGCGACAUAUUAAUAAACCUGGGGUGGUACCGCGAGAAUCUCGUCCCCAAG